UCCAGUACCAGGAGAAACUGGAAGUACUCCGGAGCAAACAGGGAGAAAAUCGUUCCUGUAUUAUCUUCUUUUCUUUUUCAUCUUCUGGUAGCAAAUCGGAGUGAAAAGGAGCAAGAAUUUUUUGCUCCGGAGCAACAGGGAGUGACUUCCGUGUACUGGAACAAACCUAUUGAUCACAAAUGGCAACCCGGAAUAACAAACUGCAAAAUAUUGCAGACUGGUGAUCGGAAAAGGUUCCAAGGAAGCCAAUGAGGAGCAAAACGCGGCAUACAAUGCAUUGACUCAACUGGCUAUCGCUUGUCCGACUGUGAAUAGCGAUCUCCAACUCGUUUCUUCCUAUUUUGAUCAUCUGUCACAGGAACCGGUCGAAUUACAUACCCUGAUAAGAGACGCCUAGAUAUAGCAUCAUCAAUAUCAUCAAACAAUGCCCAUCGAUCGAUGCUUCAAUCGGACUCUAUCAAAACGUUAGUAUAAUAAGUUCUACCAUUAAACUGCUGCAUAGCUCGGAACCAUCUCCUGAAGGCACCGAGGAAAUGGAGACUAAUCAUGGUGAUGUAAACACGAAAGCUAUGUCCCUCAUAGCACUUCUGCAGUGAUCACGCCAAAGCUACAAUCCGAGAGGAUGUCACUCAUUGAUUGGGCUAUCUGGUUAUUAUUGAUGAGAAUUUUUUUGCUAAAUGCUACUUGAGGUUCUUCUGGUUCUGUUGAAGAUGACCAAGAAUGUGCACUGCAUAUUGCCAUGGUUUAAAUUAUUCAAUCGUGUGGAGAGUGACAAGCGGAUCAGGAUUCGAUAGGAAAUAUUAACGAUUAAAUGCUUAUCUAAAACGCUUGUGCCAUCUGGUUGUUGGCGAUAAUUAUUGAUUUGCUCUCGAAGGAUAAUGGAACUUUUGCAUCACGUGGUUUGGGAAUAGUGCGCUCAAUUUCCAUGAAUAACAAUAAGGAAAAACUGUCCAAUUAGUUGUUGGUCAACUAGUUGGUGGUAGACAUGUGCAGAAAGAAGAAACUAAGCUUGUCGAGAAAGGCAUACUGAGGACGGCACCGAGCGACGAGGAAUUGUGAAAAUUAUCCAUUAGAAGAAGGCGGCAGAGAAUAAUAUCGAAAUACUACCUUGUCCUAAAACAAGGUGUAAACCGACAAGCAUAGUUUCUUAGAAAAUACAUUUUGCACCCUGAUUACAUGACAGAUGGACGAAACAGCGGAAAAAGCCACAGAUCCCGGUUUUACUGUAAAAGCAGCAGUUUUACUUGCAUACUCUGAAAGCGAUAGAAUGUAUAACGAUUCUUGCAUUCGAAGCUAAGAAACAUCGAUUAUUUUUAUACUUGCAUUGCGUUGCAAAAAGGAAUGUUUGGUGCAAGAAGGGUACACCGGCAGUUAAAAAAGAUCUGAAAGCCGUUGACGCCGACAGGAUGGUGCUAAUAUGUACAGAAUAACAAAGGCAUCAGACAAAAAAAAUAACAAAGGCAGUAACAGCGGUGCCUUACAUUACGACGAAAUUAGCAACCGUACGAAAAGGUCAUAUCUUUCCGCACUGAAGACUAAAAACAACUUUGAGUUCGAUACUGAUCACGGGUAUCUGACAUCAAGUAGUUACAGCAGACCAGUUGAAUCAGUCCAGCUGCCGAUCGAGUAACAUUAACAUCAUACAUGCUGAUCGAGUUUGUUGAGGAAUUGCGCGCAUCUUUUUCAGACGGUAUUUGGCUCUUUCUAGUAUAUCCAAGAUGAAACACCAAUCAGCAUCAUGAUCGCAGUCUCCACGGUGUUCUCGAACGUAAGCACCAUACUACGACCCGUUACAACAGAUCAUUGAGUUGAUUGCAUCGUUGCAUCGUAUGUUACAUUGGCAACAUAUGGAUAUCAUCGGUACAGAACGUAUUGGCAAAUUUAUUUGAAUCAAACAUGGUCCGAGAAUGUCUCACCAAUCUUGGAAUUCAAACAAGCGGAAGAAAGGAAUUGUGCCAUGCAACUCCCGCCCGGUUACUUAAUUUGUAAAAUGCAAGAAUCGAUCUAUGAAAAGUACCCAACAUAUCACUGUAUCCGGAUAUAUCAUGUCAUUACUGCUUGUG